rnacentral:rRNA from 1 species
AAGUAACGCUAGCUAUAUGCUUAACACAUGCAAGUCGAACGCACCUUUCGGGGUGAGUGGCAGACGGGUGAGUAACGCGUGGGAACGUGCCCUUCAGUUCGGAAUAACCCAGGGAAACUUGGGCUAAGACCGGAUACGUGCGAGAGCAGAAAGAUUUAUCGCUGAAGGAUCGGCCCGCGUCUGAUUAGCUGGUUGGUGAGGUAAUGGCUCACCAAGGCGACGAUCAGUAGCUGGUCUGAGAGGAUGAUCAGCCACAUUGGGACUGAGACACGGCCCAAACUCCUACGGGAGGCAGCAGUGGGGAAUAUUGGACAAUGGGCGCAAGCCUGAUCCAGCCAUGCCGCGUGAGUGAUGAAGGCCUUAGGGUUGUAAAGCUCUUUCGUCCGGGACGAUAAUGACGGUACCGGAAGAAGAAGCCCCGGCUAACUUCGUGCCAGCAGCCGCAGUAAAAC